rnacentral:miRNA from 1 species
UUGGGGACACCAUCAGAACAGCCA